UAGGCUGUUGAAAUCUAUCUCAUAUUUUUAGAAUGUGUGACAUUUAACACACUGAUGAAUAUUCCCAGCUUCAGUAUAUAGACCUUGCUUUCACAUUUAGACUGGGUUUUUCAGCUCAACUGUCUGGAUUUCCCCCCUUCCUGAUGCCUGGCACUUAUGAUCUGGGGAAGAAUAUGAAGAGGAUGCUCCUACUGCAGAUGACUUUGAAACACAUACAGACUGUCUAUCAGCACUGGAAGCGAGCACCUGAGGCAUCGUACCUGUGUAGCAGGAAGAAAUGGGAAUCCGAAGCUGAAGGGGAGGCUUUUCAUACCCAGGAUAGCCCAGCUGCAUGGAGUAUCAAGUCUACUGAGACUCUACAAUAACUGUUUCAUCAGAAGGAGAAGCCCCAGCACCCAGUGACAUGCAGAGAGCCACACAGAGGUUGAGGCAUUGAAACAAAUUCCUUGCCUUGGGCCCCAUCUUAAGUUAACUGCCUCCGCUCCAACCCUCCCUAACAAAACUCUGUCUGCUCAUUCUUUUUGAAUUAAAUGCAACACUUGACUUCUUUGAGUCAUUAGAGAUUAAAACUCUCUAUAAAAAAUUUUAUUUAGUAUAUAAAAAUAAUAUUAGCCAUUGAAAUGA